rnacentral:lncRNA from 1 species
AUCCACCUAACUUUAUGAAGAGAUAACGGAAGCUCUCUGAGAAGACGAAGAAAGCUAAGAGAGUAAAGCUGGGGAAACUUCUGUAUCCAGACCGUAUGUGCCUCUGGUCUCCUCCUCCUCUCCAAGUAAGUCUCUUCCUUCUGACUCUCUCUCUAUUCAUUUAAGGCAACUAUAUUCUUCCCUACCUCUACCCUCCCUAAUUUAAACACCCUAUGAACCUACACCCUCCACCACUAAGCCUUUUGAAACACCUACUUCUAAC